UACGUAGGGCGCAAGCGUUAUCCGGAAUUAUUGGGCGUAAAGAGCUCGUAGGCGGUUUGUCGCGUCUGCCGUGAAAGUCCGGGGCUCAACUCCGGAUCUGCGGUGGAUACGGGCAGACUAGAGUUCGGCAGGGGAGACUGGAAUUCCUGGUGUAGCGGUGAAAUGCGCAGAUAUCAGGAGGAACACCGGUGGCGAAGGCGGGUCUCUGGGCCGAUACUGACGCUGAGGAGCGAAAGCGUGGGGAGCGAACAGG
rnacentral:rRNA from 1 species